rnacentral:rRNA from 1 species
CCUACGGGAGGCAGCAGUGGGGAACAUUGGACAAUGGGGGGAACCCUGAUCCAGCCAUGCCGCGUGUGUGAAGAAGGCCCUCGGGUUGUAAAGCACUUUCAGUGAGGAAGAACGCCUGGUGGUUAAUACCCAUCAGGAAAGACAUCACUCACAGAAGAAGCACCGGCUAACUCCGUGCCAGCAGCCGCGGUAAUACGGAGGGUGCGAGCGUUAAUCGGAAUUACUGGGCGUAAAGCGCGCGUAGGUGGCUUGAUAAGCCGGUUGUGAAAGCCCCGGGCUCAACCUGGGAACGGCAUCCGGAACUGUCAAGCUAGAGUGCAGGAGAGGAAGGUAGAAUUCCCGGUGUAGCGGUGAAAUGCGUAGAGAUCGGGAGGAAUACCAGUGGCGAAGGCGGCCUUCUGGACUGACACUGACACUGAGGUGCGAAAGCGUGGGUAGCAAACAGGAUUAGAUACCCGUGUAGUC